rnacentral:rRNA from 1 species
GGGGAUAACCUGGGGAAACCCAGGCUAAUACCGCAUACGUCCUACGGGAGAAAGCAGGGGAUCUUCGGACCUUGCGCUAUCGGAUGAGCCCAUGUCGGAUUAGCUUGUUGGUGAGGUAAUGGCUCACCAAGGCGACGAUCCGUAGCUGGUCUGAGAGGAUGAUCAGCCACAUCGGGACUGAGACACGGCCCGAACUCCUACGGGAGGCAGCAGUGGGGAAUAUUGGACAAUGGGCGAAAGCCUGAUCCAGCCAUGCCGCGUGUGUGAAGAAGGCCCUCGGGUUGUAAAGCACUUUCAGUGGGGAAGAAAGCCUUGAGGUUAAUACCUUCGAGGAAGGACAUCACCCACAGAAGAAGCACCGGCUAACUCCGUGCCAGCAGCCGCGGUAAUACGGAGGGUGCGAGCGUUAAUCGGAAUUACUGGGCGUAAAGCGCGCGUAGGCGGUCUGAUAAGCCGGUUGUGAAAGCCCCGGGCUCAACCUGGGAACGGCAUCCGGAACUGUCAGGCUAGAGUGCAGGAGAGGAAGGUAGAAUUCCCGGUGUAGCGGUGAAAUGCGUAGAGAUCGGGAGGAAUACCAGUGGCGAAGGCGGCCUUCUGGACUGACACUGACGCUGAGGUGCGAAAGCGUGGGUAGCAAACAGGAUUAGAUACCCUGGUAGUCCACGCCGUAAACGAUGUCGACUAGCCGUUGGGGUCCUUGAGACCUUUGUGGCGCAGUUAACGCGAUAAGUCGACCGCCUGGGGAGUACGGCCGCAAGGUUAAAACUCAAAUGAAUUGACGGGGGCCCGCACAAGCGGUGGAGCAUGUGGUUUAAUUCGAUGCAACGCGAAGAACCUUACCUACCCUUGACAUCGAGAGAACUUGGCAGAGAUGCCUUGGUGCCUUCGGGAACUCUCAGACAGGUGCUGCAUGGCUGUCGUCAGCUCGUGUUGUGAAAUGUUGGGUUAAGUCCCGUAACGAGCGCAACCCUUGUCCUUAUUUGCCAGCGCGUAAUGGCGGGAACUCUAAGGAGACUGCCGGUGACAAACCGGAGGAAGGUGGGGACGACGUCAAGUCAUCAUGGCCCUUACGGGUAGGGCUACACACGUGCUACAAUGGACGGUACAAAGGGUUGCAAAGCCGCGAGGUGGAGCUAAUCCCAUAAAGCUGUUCUCAGUCCGGAUCGGAGU